GUGCCUGUAGCUCAGUGGUAGAGCACCGCUCUGUGGCAGCGGUUGCGCGGGUUCGAUCCCCGUCAGGCACC
rnacentral:tRNA from 1 species